GACUGGUCGCAUUGAUUAGACGCAGGAAGAAGAUAUUUAAAACCACAUCAACGCAAAUAGCGAAACAUCAAUCCAUUCAUUUACUAACCGAGCUACACUGAGGCGAAAGGCAGCGUACACCCCGGACAAGUCGCCACCUCAUCACAGUGAAAGCAAAACAGGAUCCUUCCGUGGUUCAUGGACGACCAGGAUGACAAUCAGGAUACUGAGUGUCGGGAUCCAAGUCCGCCCCGGUGUCCAAGUCCCCCUUUAUUUAGUCAGCCCCAAGCGUAUCAGGAUUCAUACGAUCAGCAUGAGGCCAGCCGGAUCCAGUCUGCGAAUCGGCAGACCACGACCACUGGGAGCAACGGCGGAAUAUUUUGCUGCUGCGGGUCUACUCCCAAGGCCAGUGCGUAGCGCAAAUCAGCGAUGACAACUGUGAUGAGCGAAGCCUGCCUUUUGACAAAGUAGCACCACUGACAUCUUCAUCAGCAGAUGCAAGAAGAUGUCUCUCUGAAUGGAGAAAAGAUUCCAGACCGGGGAACAGAUUUUCUCAAAGAUGGCAAUUGUUGAUAUUAUGAU